rnacentral:rRNA from 1 species
AACGUAGGACGCAAGCGUUAUCCGGAGUUACUGGGCGUAAAGCGCGGGCAGGCGGCUCGAAACGUCUGAUGUGAAAUCUCCUCGCUCAACGGGGAGAGGCCAUUGGAAACGGUCGAGCUGGAGGGCAGUAGAGGUAGGCGGAAUUCCGGGUGGAGUGGUGAAAUGCGUAGAGAUCCGGAGGAACACCAGAGGCGAAGGCGGCCUACUGGGCUGCACCUGACGCUGAGACGCGAAAGCGUGGGGAGCAAACAGG